GACAGGAAGGGCUAGUGUUAUUCAUCGCUAUUGGGUGUAAAGGGUAUGUAGGUUUUUUUAUUAAAUUGGGCAUAAAAAAACUAUAAUUUAUAGAAGAGUGUUCAAAACUGAUAAAAUUGAGUUUGCAUGAGGAAUAUACUAAAUCUAGUGUAAAGGUGAAAUUUGCAGAUAUUAGAAAGAGUGCCAAAAGGUGAAAACAAUAUUCUUAUG
rnacentral:rRNA from 1 species